GGCUGUUUGGUCUAGUGGUAUGAUUCUCGCUUUGGGUGCGAGAGGUCCCGGGGUUCGAUUCCCGGAACAGCCC
rnacentral:tRNA from 1 species